ACUCUCCCCAAACCUCUCUCGCACGCGGGGACUGAGCACGGCCCGAAAAGCCGAGGACAGCCGGACUCACCCUGUAGUUAUAGUAGUGCGUCUGCACAAGAUGCCGGUGGCGCGACUUGUGGUUGCCGAAGUUGGAUUUCUCGCAAACCAGCUACCCAUGGGGACCUCAACAGCUUUGCCAUUGCACACUAUCUUUGCAGACAAGAUCUUAAUCACAUCCAACUUUCUGCAGUUGCACAGGGUACCUCAGACCCACAUCCCAGAUGACAUUCCUCAGAAGCUCGCAGCUGGAGAUGACAUCACCUUAGACAACAUCACCCUAGCCCAAGACAUCGCUAUUAGAGAUACAUCACCUGGACACUAAAGCCUCCAACCCAGUGACACUCUCAAGGUGCUGACAAAAUGGACAUGGACAUUUGUUGCUUUUCUUCUUUUGAAUUAGGAACUCUAUUGUGUUUCCUGAAUUUACUGUCUGCUUGGCCCAUGAUCCUGACAAUAGAAUAUGAACUCCCCAAGGGCAAGGAUUUGUGUCUGUUUUAUUUACUGCUGCGUCCCUAGCACCUGGAGGCAUGUCACACAGCCA
rnacentral:lncRNA from 1 species